CAGUCCGCCGCGGGAAUACAGAGGGUGCAAGCGUUAAUCGGAAUUACUGGGCGUAAAGCGCGCGUAGGUGGUUUGUUAAGUUGGAUGUGAAAGCCCCGGGCUCAACCUGGGAACUGCAUCCAAAACUGGCAAGCUAGAGUACGGUAGAGGGUGGUGGAAUUUCCUGUGUAGCGGUGAAAUGCGUAGAUAUAGGAAGGAACACCAGUGGCGAAGGCGACCACCUGGACUGAUACUGACACUGAGGUGCGAAAGCGUGGGGAGCAAACAGGAUUAGAUACCCGCGUAGUCCCUGUCUCUUAUU
rnacentral:rRNA from 1 species